UACACAUUGUUCCGCUUUAGUGCAUUUAACUAUAUGUCGCAAGUAAAAGUCUUUGGUGGCGAGUCAGUACAAUACAAGGUUAAAACCCCCCUCAGACUCAGGAAGGUUAAAACCCCCCUCAGACUCAGGAAGGUUAAAACCCCCCUCAGACUCAGGAAGGUUAAAACCCCCCUCAGACGGUUAAAACCACCCUCAGACUCAGGAAGGUUAAAACCCCCCUCAGACUCAGGACGGUUAAAACCCCCCUCAGACUCAGGAAGGUUAAAACCACCCUCAGACUCAGGAAGGUUAAAACCACCCUCAGACUCAGGAAGGUUAAAACCACCCUCAGACUCAGGAAGGUUAAAACCCCCCUCAGACUCAGGAAGGUUAAAACCCCCCUCAGACUCAGGAAGGUUAAAACCACCCUCAGACUCAGGAAGGUUAAAACUCCCCUCAGACUCAGGAAGGUUAAAUCCCCCCUCUGACGGUUAAAACCCCCCUCAGACUCAGGAAGGUUAAAACCCCCCUCAGACUCAGGAAGGUUAAAACCACCCUCAGACUCAGGAAGGUUAAAACCACCCUCAGACUUAGGAAGGUUAAAACUCCCCUCAGACUCAGGAAGGUUAAAACCCCCCUCAGACGGUUAAAACCACCCUCAGACUCAGGAAGGUUAAAACCCCCCUCAGACUCAGGAAGGUUAAAACCCCCCUCAGACUCAGGAAGGUUAAAACCACCCUCAGACUCAGGAAGGUUAAAACCACCCUCAGACGGUUAAAACCACCCUCAGACUCAGGAAGGUUAAAACCACCCUCAGACUCAGGAAGGUUAAAACCCCCCUCAGACUCAGGAAGGUUAAAACCACCCUCAGACUCAGAAAGGUUCAAACCCCCCUCAGACUCAGGAAGGUUAAAACCACCCUCAGACUCAGGACGGUUAAAACCCCCCUCAGACUCAGGAAGGUUAAAACCACCCUCAGACUCAGGAAGGUUAAAACCCCCCUCAGACUCAGGAA